CUAGUCUUAUCUUAUAGUUAGGAUAGCCUUAUGCCUAUCCCACGCAUGCUUAAACUCCUUUACUGUGUUAACCUCUACCACUUCAGCUGGAAGGCUAUUCCAUGCAUCCACUACCCUCUCAGUAAAGUAAUACUUCCUGAUAUUAUUUUUAAACCUUUGUCCCUCUAACUUAAGACUAUGUCCUCUUGUUGUGGUAGUUUUUCUUCUUUUAAA